UUCACUCUUCAUCUCCACAAACCAGUUGAACGUUGAGCCUUAUCGUUAUUUUCAAUGGCAUUGUCACAAUUUCGUUCUUCUCUCAAAUUCGGUAACCCAUUUCCAAUGGCAACACUCUCUUCCUUCACCAUCUCCUCCAAAAUCCUUACCCCACCUAACCACCCCAAAACCUCAUCUCUCAAUUUCAACAACCUCUCCAUUCGUACCAAAAUCUGUACCCGAAACCCUAUCCAAAUUCGCGCGGCGGCCAAGGAAGAUUUCUCUUCCAACAAAAGCGGAAGCAAUGAGCAGAAGGAAACGAUUAUGCUUCCCGGUUGUGACUACAACCAUUGACACUUACCUUCAAACUCUUGCUACUGUCUUGGGAAGUUUAGCUUUUGGAAGAAAAAUGCAGAAUUUGUCCUCGCUCGCAAGGUGUUCGAUGAAAUGUCCCAACCGAAUUCCUUUUGUGGCGAAGUUAGCGGUGAGAGAGGAAUUUGAUUUAGUUGAUGUUAAUGGCUCAAUAUACUUAAUCUUGACACUAGGAAUUUGAUUCAUUGGCCAAACGGUCAGGUUCUGAGUGGAGAACUAGACUCACAUUGCUGCACCUAUCCUAUUCUUUACAAUGUAAUAUACAUGGAGGUAAUCCUUAAGCAUAGAGAUCUUAAGGAGGAGUGGGUGUGGUUGCUAGAAAGGCUGGAUUAUUUUCCCAACCUUCGAAAUCUUACCAUUAUCGAGGUUUUGUACUGUCUACCAAUCUCUUUUUGUUUUUACUUCAUUUUUUGUUUAUCUAUUUUAUCUUAUAAAAAGUAUGUGAAUCACAAGACAAUGGGAAUGGAGACGAAAUUGUGUAUAAUUGGAGGGAACAAACAUCUACUCCGGAAUGUCUUUCAACACAGCUUAGAACAUGUUUGAUUAAACAAUUUACAUACACAGAAUGUGGUCUUCAAUUUGCUGAAUAUAUUUUGAGGAAUUCAAAGGUAUUGGACACAAUGUCAAUCAAGAGUGCUUCAUUCAUAAAUGAAAAUGUCAAGCACCAAAUGUUAAUGAUAUUAGCUUCGGAGGAAUUCAAAGCCGCUUUUUCCUGGUGAGUGGUGUAGACCAACUUGUGGAAAUUAUCAAGUGCUAUUUGGUUGGAUUCCAUUAGCAUGGAGACUUGAAAGCAAAAUUCAGAUUCCAUUAGCUUGCAAGAGUGAGUACGCAUUACCAAAGAGGAAUACUUAGAGUCAAAACAGAAAGUAGAAGAAAAGCCCAAGAUUCUCAUUCCAGCUCUUCAUCAAAUUGACAAGGGAUUUGGCUGAAGAAAGAUAGGAUGCAACUGGAUGCAACUUUAUUAUAUUAAUUAGAAAGGCAAUAAAUAUAUAAUGAUAAACAUGUUCCAUGUAUAUAGUUUCAUCAUAUUUGUUAUAAAGGGAUAUAGACAAUUCAGGUGUAAUUCUGUUAUAUUAUGCUAAUCAAACUAUAGUAGAAAUCUGUUUGGGUGCUAUAGAGAAAUGAGUAUUAUUAUUGGUCAGUGUUCUCGUUUUCUUUCUAAUGGGUUGAUGAUGACUUUACAUUGCCAUGUGGAGUUUGCUCAAUUUUGUAUGAUUCCAUCUUGGAAUCAGUACUAGAGUUUGUUAUCAGCACAUACCGAUAUAAGUCUUCGCAGGCACAAAUUAUUACUGAUAUUAUGAGCCACUUUUUAAUUGUCAUGCUUUCAACAUUUAAGUUUCUUGUUAGUUGGUAGUAACUAUAACACUGAUUGCUUUUCCUUCUCCUCAAGAAUUUUGUAGUGUAUGUUGAAUUUACGAUUUUAUGAUGUUGAAGUUGAAAUUAACUGAACAGAGGAACCUUGGCAGCUUCAGAGAGAAUCCACAUUGACAGCCAAAGCAUCAGGUAAAAGUACUUCCCUAGGAUUGGAAGAUCUUCAACCAGAUAGCAUGAUUGAGGCAUUUCAACUAG